rnacentral:rRNA from 1 species
UGGUGGAGUGAUUUGUCUGCUUAAUUGCGAUAACGAACGAGACCUUAACCUGCUAAAUAGCCAGGCCCGCUUUGGCGGGUCGCCGGCUUCUUAGAGGGACUAUCGGAUUUCAAGUCGAUGGAAGUUUGAGGCAAUAACA